CGCGCUGUGUCUCCUGCCUUUGCGGGCGGGUGGGCGCGCGUGCAUUGCUGGCUGCGGAACGGAUGGUGGCUUGUCUCGCCCCGUGGGGUCGUUCCCUGGGGUGGGUGGCAUGGGACGUGCUUUUGGGUUCCCGGGCCGCGGCCGUGUGUCGUGCAGCCCGUCCCGCCCGCCUGGCGCGCCGGUGUUUGCCGGUGGUCGUCGUGUGGGCGCGGGCCCGUGGUUUGAGAACUGGAUAGUGGACGCGAGCGAGCGUCCGGCCUCCCUGUUUCGGGUGGCCGGUGUCUCGUUGUGAUUUUUCCUGAUUCCCGGCGGUUUGUCUGCCGCCGGGGUCGAUCGUUUGUGAUCGUCAGUGUGAUGAUUGUCGUCUGGCAUUAUUUAGGGGCCCCUUCGUGGGGUCUUCUCGCGAGCCCGGUGUGGUUCCCGCCCUUUGGGGCGGGGGUCGUCAUGCCGGUAUGGGCUCAUGGUGGAUG
rnacentral:misc_RNA from 1 species